rnacentral:rRNA from 1 species
AUUGAACGCUGGCGGCAUGCCUUACACAUGCAAGUCGAACGGCAGCACGGGUGCUUGCACCUGGGGGCGAGUGGCGAACGGGUGAGUAAUAUAUCGGAACGUACCGUAUUGUGGGGGAUAACGGAGCGAAAGCUGUGCUAAUACCGCAUAAUCCCUCAGGGGGAAAGCGGGGGAGCGUAAGAUCUCGCGCAAUGAGAGUGGGCUAUACCUGAUUAGAUAGUUGGUGAGGGAAAGGCUCACCCAGGCAAAGAUCAGUAGCUGGUCUGGGAGGACGAUCAGCCACACUGGGACUGAGACACGGCCCCGACUCCUACGGGAGGCAGCAGUGGGGAAUUUUGGACAAUGGGGGCAACCCUGAUCCAGCAAUGCCGCGUGAGUGAAGAAGGCCUUCGGGUUGUAAAGCUCUUUUGUCAGGGAAGAAACAGCAGCUCUAACACAGUUUGCGAAUGACGGUACCUGAAGAAUAAGCACCGGCUAACUACGUGCCAGCAGCAGCCGCAG